AUCCAGCUGAAAAGUCCGGAAUAUGACGAAACAAGCGUCCUGGAU
rfam:Schistosoma haematobium scaffold7018_1, whole genome shotgun sequence.